CAGUAGCCGCGGGAAUACGUAGGUCCCGAGCGUUGUCCGGAUUUAUUGGGCGUAAAGCGAGCGCAGGCGGUUAGAUAAGUCUGAAGUUAAAGGCUGUGGCUUAACCAUAGUACGCUUUGGAAACUGUUUGACUUGAGUGCAAGAGGGGAGAGUGGAAUUCCAUGUGUAGCGGUGAAAUGCGUAGAUAUAUGGAGGAACACCGGUGGCGAAAGCGGCUCUCUGGCUUGUAACUGACGCUGAGGCUCGAAAGCGUGGGGAGCAAACAGGAUUAGAUACCCCCGUAGUCCCUGUCUCUUAUACA
rnacentral:rRNA from 1 species